rnacentral:lncRNA from 1 species
GAUCGACGGUAGGGUCUACAACCCUGUAUAACUCGAUCCGGAAGAUCCGCAUAUUAGAUUUUCAAUCCGCAACUUCCAAAGAUCCAUAUUAUGCUUAUAGAAUAACAUACUAAAAUUUCAUUGCAAUCCAAUGGUCGGAUCUCCACCAAUUGCCCAAAACCAAGUGGCGGUUAACAUUUAUUUUAUAAACGUACACAUCCAAUUCAGGAAAAUCCAUACAUCGGAUUCUUGAUCUGUAAGUUUUUAUGGACCUCAAAUAUUACAUACUAUAAUGUAUUAAAGUUUGGUGACGAUCCAACGGUUGGAUCAUCGAUUACUAUUCUAAUCAAGUGGUGGACCUUAAUGGGACUUUGCCUGAUUCUGCAGUUUCUGCAGAUUUCCUGGGUGAUCUUUGGAACUCCAUAUCUCACUUGUUUUUCAACCAAAUUCAACCCAUAAUAUAAAAAAUCGAAGCUAGAGAAAUAUAGAACAAGAUUAUACCAGGUUGGAGUCAAAUGGUGGCCGGAGGUGGCUGAAAAAUGGUUUGAAAGAUGGCUGUCCGCGGGAAAACUGGUAACUCGCUGGAAUUUCUGGGCAACCUUUCAAUGUCCAUAACUU